rnacentral:rRNA from 1 species
UACGGAGGGUGCGAGCGUUGUCCGGAAUCACUGGGCGUAAAGGGCGCGUAGGCGGCAUGCCAAGCGUGUGGUGAAAGCCCGGGGCUCAACCCCGGGUCGGCCGUGCGGACUGGCGUGCUUGAGCACUGUAGGGGCGGGUGGAAUUCCGGGUGUAGCGGUGGAAUGCGUAGAGAUCCGGAAGAACACCGGUGGCGAAGGCGGCCCGCUGGGCAGGAAGGAAGCGCAAGCUUCCGGCUGACGCUGAGGCGCGACAGCGUGGGGAGCAACAGG